CCAAAAAGGGGCACUUCGGGCGGAAAAAAAAUGGGAAUUUAAGCCCAAAAAGGGACAGUUUUGACCCAAAAACGGGGUCCCAGGAGUAUUUUAGGGGGUCCCAGAGUGAUGGGAGAGCUCAGGAGGAGCUGACAGGGUCCCACACAGACUGGCUGACACUCAAUGUGGGAGGCAGGUACUUCACCACUACAAGGUAAAAAUGCUUUUAGUCUCAAAACAACUUGAUUUCAAGGCAGCAAAAGAGCUUGAAAAAUAACUUCUUAUGAAGUAGGAGGUCUUUGCCUUCUGCUACUUUCUCUGUAUUUUGCGUUCACCACCACAAUUUUGCAAGAAAUCAAUUCGUAAACACUUUUUAUGAAGUAAAAAUGAAAUUAAUGAAAUUGCACUGCCUUUGUUUUCUAGAAGCACUUUAGAUACAGACACACACAAGUUAACAAAGAACCUGACAGCAUGUUGGCCCACAUGUUUAAAGAUAAAGAUGCUUGGGGGAACAAGCAGGAUCACAGAGGAGCAUUCCUAACUGACCGCAGUCCCGAGUAUUUUGAGCCCAUUUUGAGCUAUUUACGUCACGGACAGCUCAUUGUAAAUGAUGGCCUUCAUUUGCUAGGUGUCCUGCAGGAAGCCAGGUUUUUUGGUGUUGAUUCACCAAUCGAACACCUGGAAAUAGCCAUGAAGGGAAUUUGUUUGGAGACCUGAAUGCACCUGCCCUGCUCUUGCAGAGGAUGUGUAAUUUAGUGCUGUCUGUGUCAGCUGUUGAACAACAUUCCCAAUGGAAUUCCCAGCCAGCUGAGGAUCCCUGUCCCACCUCUCAGAAGGAGUUUGUCCAGUUCCUGCUGGCAACACCCCCCAAGUCCGAGCUGCGCUGUCAGUGACUCCUGUCUGUGCCAGUGUGCCAACCUGCCAGGGGUGAAGAUGCUGCGCUCCAGCGCAGAGGGAGCGUCCCUGAAAGGCUGCGACUCUGAGGACCCAUCAGGCCUUCAAGCUAAUCUGGAAGGUGCCAGCCUGAAAGGAGUGGCCAUGGAGGGCAGUCAGAUGACAGGAAUUACCCUCCGAGUUGCAACACUGAGAAACGCCAAACUAAAGAACUGCAACCUCAGGGGAGCAACGUUGGCAGGAAC